CACAAAAGCUUAUGUGCAGGGCAGUAGAGGAGCCCAUGAACCAUGAGCCAUCUUUUCAGAAGUAUGGCACUGUGAGUAAGAGCUCAAAUCUGGAUUCAGUGGUGAGUUCAAAUUCCAAUUUUACUACUUACUAAAGGGGGCUCUUAGGAAAGUAGCUCAUUCUCUCUCUGGCAGAAAUGGCCAACUGUUCAUCAAAAUUUGUAGCAUCACCCAUUGUGUGGAGAUGUUGCUAAACACAGGCUUCCCCAUCAUGGAUUCAAUUUCCUAAUCAUCUUUGCAUCUCUAUGGAGCUACGUGACCAGCUCUCACUAACUGAAGGUGGGCAGGAAUAAAGUGUGUUAUUUCUUGGUUCUCAAUGAUUAAGAAGUAAGUGUGCCUGCUUUCCUCUUUCUUCUUCUUCCACAGUGACCUUGGAAGCCAAGUGCUGAAGAUAGUGGAGCUACGACAAUAAAGAGCUUCAGUCUUCAAUCCUUACAUGGCAGACCAUCCACUCAGCACUCUCAUCAAACUGUUAUGUACAUGGCAGGAGAAAUGAUUGAGGGCUGUUCCAGUUUGGCAUGGAAACAAAGCAAAGCAAUUUCAGUGUGGUAACAAGACUAAGGAGGAGGCAGAUGCUGUGCAGGCACCAGUACCACAGCCAAGGGAUGAGGAACUUCUCCAUCUUAUUCCAUUUGAGUGAAAUAUGAAUAAUUGAAGAGAUGUGGUAUCAAAGCUCAUUGAACAAAACUUUUCUGGUAACAUGCUUCGUCCUAUCUAGUUAUUUGAAUUCAUAUAAACUUAAAGGAAAAGAACAAAACAAAGCUAUAAAGAAAAUUGGAAGUUAUUCAUUGCCAUUCGUCAUAAACAAGCUCAGAGGCUGGGAUAUUUGGCAUGAUGAUAAUGAAACUGCAGGAAAUUGAGCACACUCCAAUGUUGGUGAGGACGGUCCAUCCAUUCUGCGUACGUCUGCAUCUUUGGGACUUAGAGUCUGGCAAGUAGAAGAGGGAUUUCAUCUUGUUGGAAAAUAUAAGUUGGAAAAUCAACCCACAUGAAAUUGCGGAAGCUGAGGGGUUUCACUGAUGGAAAAAUGGAGAAGAUUUGAUGAAACAGCAAGUCCUUAAGAGUGGGAGCCAGAAGUUUAAGUUGUAACAGGUUUCGGAUGUGAUUCAGAACUUAGAGGAUAACAAACUGCAGAAAAAUUCUUUGGAAGAUAACGAUUAGAGAAAAAUUCUGGGUCAAAGGCAGCUAUUGUGGUGCAUAGUUAUUCAGACUUCAAAUUUGAAAAGAAAUCAUUGUUUCACAGACCGAAAGGUGAGCCACUGGUAUCUGUCAUCAGCAAACAGGAAAAAUGAAGAAGUACAUUUCUUCUAUAGGUUGCAACACACAGUACAAAUAUACCAUUAGAAUACCUAAAAUGCAAGAUGAAUCGGUUCUGUGAAUUGAAACUUUGAUUUUGUUCUUUAGCCAGUAGAGUUUACAGAGUUCUAUGAGGAAGGACAUCUGUAAAAUAUCUUACAAUAUGUUGUCUCCUGUUUUGAGAGAAAGGGAAAGUAUCUUUGCACUGUGAAUAUACCCUUUGUGUUAUUAACUGUGAGGACAUGACAAGGCUAAACAAUUGCUUCUUUCUUCUGUCAAAGUUUCGUUUGCUUUGGUUAGUGCCAUUGCUGGAGAGAAUUAAACAAGUUUCCACGUUUUAGGCUUCUUGACAUUUUUUGAUGUUCCACGUAACUGCAACGGAAUAACUCGAUGAAACAAAUCAAGGCAGCUGUGCUCUGAUCCUUAGUUGCCUUCCAGGAUAAGAUGACACAUUUGAUAAACACAUUUCCUUUAACGCCAAGUUCUCCAGGUCAGGCAGGCAUAUCAUAUAGAUGAAACUGAUCUGAGCCUUCAUCCUGAGGGAGAAGAGAGUUGGAGAUGAAGGUAAACCAGGAUCCUGGUUUUAACCCUGCAACACACCAGUCUCCUGAACUUGAGUAUUUGUAAGUACUACAUCUGAGAUUGGCUUUGCCCAUGACUUUCCAAACAUUGAUAUUGGAUGGGACCUGACCCUUAAAUAAUCCCAAGUCAGAGAAAAACAAUUUUGUGGAAUAGUUGCAAAGAGCAUUUGCUCACUUAAUUCUGUUGCCCAGGAGCCCAAGUGGUGGAGGAAGGAGAAUGUGGAUUCUGGAAUUAGGAAGACUUGGGUUCAAUGUCACCUUCUACCAUUUAACAACUGCUGAGGUUAGUUUCCUAUACUCUUUGAGUCCCAGACCCUUAUCUCUAAAAUUGAGAAUAAUAAUAUCUACCUCACAGGAUUAUUAAGAAUGCUAAUUGAGAUUAAAUAUGUAAAGUACAUGGCACAAAAUGCUCAAUAAAUAUUAGUACUAUUUAAUUUAGCCUAAGGGUCUUGCUAGGAUUUUAGAGAUGCUUUCCUGCCUCUUACUGGCUCUAUUGUUUACAUAAUUAUCUCUUUAUUUUUCCUUUUCUCUAAAAUUGUAUUAGUAUUUCAGUAAAUCUUUCUUACAUUGAGAACAAUCUCGUAUAUAAAGUGGAACAUAUUGGGGGGAACUUUUCAGUAGCCAUCUCAUAGGCUAAAGAAACAAAAAAGAUAGAUGUUUUACAUGUUUUUAUUCUGUUGAUGAGCCCCUGAGAAGAUUGUUCCGGGUUCUGACACAGUCUCAUCCAGGACCAAGAUGGUUUUCUUCACUUUCCAACCCAGUGAUCUUUUAGUUUUAAUAAAUGGAGAAAGCUCACCAAAGAAGAGAAGGGACAUGCUUCACUCAGGAUGAUGGGCUGUCCCUUUUCCUUUGGAACCAGCAUAACCUUCACCAUGUCAAUAUGGAUUGCAGAGAAAUGGGAACUGGUGCUGUUCACCUUACAGCUCCUGAUGAUUUCUUACAGUGGGGGAAAGGGAGAUUGGACUUCAAGGUCAGAGUAACUGAGCCAAGUUAUUCCAAUGUAAGAAAAAAUGCUAACAUUGAAAGGAACAAUUUUACCCUGUAAAGAUUCUCUGCCUAGGGUACUAGAAAAAUCAGAAAAGGGAGCUGGUGGAGGAAAGAACUAGAAUAAACAAAGCAAGCUCAGAACAAUUCAUUCCUAUGUUUGUUUAUUGAAACAGAACCAGGAAGGACUGAUGAAGGUCUGAAUUAAUGUAAUUUAUAAGAAGAAAGGCUCCCCUCCAAGGCAAUGAAAUGAUCUCUUUCCAAAUAUGUAACCAGGAGUCGCUCCCCAUAAACCCAGGGCAUGUCAGGGCAAAGAUGGUAUUCCAGAUCUUUAUAGCCUCCCCAGUUUUUGCCUCAGAGAGAGUUCCUAAUUAACCAUUUAGGGAUUCAGAAUUGUUAAUCAAAGUUGCUCUGAUGAAAUUUUGAGGGUGGUUCUAUUUCUUGUCACAAGUUGAAUUGUUUAAAAGUACUGCCUCAGAGAUCUGAUUUUCCGCAUUACGCCAGCAUUUUCUUACCUUAGGGCAGGCAAAGGGCUAGUCAAACUUUAAAAUUGGAACUUCUUACAUUUUUUUCCCUCAGAGCAUUUGAAGUUUGUUUGUUUGGUCUGUUUGUUUUGUGUCUGUUACAGUUCUUUAUUUUGCUUUUCAAGUGCAAAGUUACUGUGCUGGUGAUGAUAGAGGGGAUACAUAAAGGAGGGAAAGAACUUGCUCAAGGAAGUUCACAGAGUGGAUACUCUAUAUCCAAUAAUAACAGUGAGGAAAGAAAGAAUGCAGUUGAAGAUAUGAGGGGCAAAGUAAUACAGAGAUUUUCACAGAUUUAGAAGAUUGCUGCCCAGAUCCUUCUGUUUCUCUCUUUUUGUUCCUAGUGAGAGUUAUUAAAAUAGCUAACAUCUACAUGCCCAUUCUGCACAGAGGAGGGAUAUAUGAAGAAAGCAAGAAACCACUAGCCUAUGUGUAGGGUGAUAUGCCUUAUAGCCAUGCUCAGUUACUAUUUUUGGUCGUGGGCCUAGAAAUAACCAUCUGGGCAAUCAGACUUUUGCAUUGACAUGCAAUGUUGGCUGAAUCCACAGGCAGCUGGCUGAGUAGUAUUUAAAUUCAGUGCUGAGAUAGGAGUAGGCCCUGACAGGCAGUAGUUAGGGGACAGUCAUCUAUUCUACCAAUGUCAACAGUAAUGAUACUGUAAUUCUUUCCAAAAUGUGGUCCUUUUUGCUAUGUUUUGACAAGCUGGCUGUUAUUCUAACUUUCUGUAUUAUUGAAAACAUGUAGGCUAGACAUUGAUACACGUAUAUGCAUAUGCAUGUGUUUAUGUGGCUGUAUAUAGUUAUGGAAGAAUCCAUGAGAGUCAAUCUUCCAUAUUUAUUAAGUAUGUACACUAUGCAAAGCACUUUAUUGUAUGAUAUAGAAAAAUAUGGAAAAAUUGUAAGCACACUAAGUCCAGGAGAGAUUGAUUCGCCUAUGUUCCAGAACCUCACUUUGUGUUUCUAUUAAGUGACUUAUUGGGAUCAGGCAGUAUCCAAUAUCAUUUCUAGGUCUUUAAUUCUAUGAGUCCAUCGUUUUGGAUAAAAAUUAAAUAUACGGUUAAAGACACAUGGACUGGAUUAGUGGUUACAAGCAUAAGCUUUAUUGUCAGAUUCACUUUAAAUAUAAGUGCAGCUUCUGCCACUUAAAAGUUCUACACCCUGUGGCAUUUAUUAAAUUGGGCUCUAGUAUCCCCAACUAUAAAAUAGGAAAUUGUAAUUGUAAUCUAUCUCAUAAGGUUGUUUUAUAGAUUGAAUGUGAUAAAGCAUGUAAAGCAUUUUUCAGAAAUCGUGGUAAAGGACAAUUAUUACAAAAUGUUAAUGAUUUUAUGCUAUCAUAAUGGUAGUUAUGGAAGCAUUGAAAACUGGGAAAAGUAAGUCAGCAGAACUCAAUAAACUGAUUCCUUUGCACUGCCUUUUUUGUUGGAAAACUGUUGACUGGAUAGAUUUUUUUCCUCUCCUGGGGGAAAAGUGAAGUUGUGAAUUUCUUUGUACAGUUCAGAAGUAAAUAAGACAAUCUCAUGUAUAAAUCACUGAAUUUAUAUUAGUUCUAAUAAUUCCCACAAAUAUAUCCAGGCUUUACGUGAGGCAAACACAUGCAUUUAUUGAAUCAGUUCAUUAGCAGUGAAGAUAUAUGUGUGUAUAUAUGUGUAUAAACACAUAAAAUCAUUUUGCAUUUGUAUGUUCAUAGGAAAGAGCCGGGAACUAUGGAUAGAUUAGAAGUCAGAAAAUGCAGGUUUAAGCAGAGCUCUGAUACUAACUUGCAGUGUCAUUGUGGAUAAGUUAUUAAUCUUUCUAAUCUCAGUUUACUUCUUUGUGCAACUAGGGCUUUACCUAUUAAAUGGUCUCAGCUCUAACACUGCCCUGAAAUCUCAUGACUUUUUGUCAACAAUAGCUCCAUGAAUGAUAACAUAGGAUAACUAGAAUGAACUUCAUUCUUGUAUAGUUCAAUGUUUCUCAAAUUAGAAUGGGAAAUCUAAGAGUCCAGACAAUCUCAA